rnacentral:rRNA from 1 species
GUACGCUGGCGGCACGCCUAACACAUGCAAGUCGAACGAAGUAGCAAUACUUAGUGGCAGACGGGUGAGUAACAUGUGGGUAUCUACCCUUUGGCCUGGAAUAACACGAGGAAACUUGUGCUAAUACCGGAUAAGUCUUUACGGAGAAAGCUUUAUGCACCAUUGGAUGAGCCCGCACUUGAUUAGUUUGUUGGUGGGGUAAUGGCCUACCAAGACUUUGAUCAAUAGCUGAUUUGAGAGGAUGAUCAGCCACAUUGGGACUGAGACACGGCCCAAACUCCUACGGGAGGCAGCAGUGGGGAAUCUUGCACAAUGGAGGAAACUCUGAUGCAGCGAUGCCGCGUGAGUGAAGAAGGCCUUUGGGUUGUAAAGCUCUUUCGUCGGGGAAGAAAAUGACUGUACCCGAAUAAGAAGGUCCGG